GGUGAGAUGGCCGAGCGGUCUAAGGCGCCAGACUAAGGUAUUCUUAUCUGGUCUCUUCGGGGGCGGGAGUUCGAAUCUCCCUCUCAUCA
rfam:Termitomyces sp. J132 unplaced genomic scaffold scaffold116, whole genome shotgun sequence.